AUGUCGAACCUACAAAGGACAAGUCCAGAACACAAGAUUAUACAUGCCUUUGCCUGUUCCUGUUUGCUCCAUGGGAGAAUAUCACUAUGGACUUUGUCUUUGGUUUGCCAAGAACAGAAUGAGCAAGUGAUGUUGUGUUUGUGGUCAUGGGACAGAUUCUCUAAAAUGGCUCAUUUCAUUCCGUGUGGCAAACCUAUUCUUUCGAGAAGUGGCAAGUUUCGUGUUGCAUUUUGGCUCACUUUGUGGACGCAAUUCAACACUGACUUAAAAUUUUCUAGCACUACCCAUCCACAAACAGAUGGACAAACGGAAGUGGUGACCAAAUUAUUGGGUAAUCUGAUUGGUUGCAUUUGUGGAGAAAGAAAGGGACAAUGGGAUUUGGCUUUAUCACUUGCAGAGUUCUCCUACAACAACUCCAAGCAUAGAUCCAAAGGAAGGAAUCCCUUUUCCAUUAUCUACACUAAAGUUCCAACACAUGUAGUGGACCCGGUGAAGCUACCAUCAAGGGGAAACUCAAAAUCAGCAUUGUCCUUUGUUGAUAAUGACACCGAGUUAUUUGAAGAAAUUCUUGUGUUUCAAAAGUACAAAAUCAGGAAUAUAAACAAUUUGUUGACUGCAAGAAGCUGA
rnacentral:rRNA from 1 species